UACCUGCAGCUCAAGUGAUGACCGCUAUUAUUGGGCCUAAAACGUUCGUAGCCGGCUGAGUAAAUGCUUGGGUAAAUCGUGCCGCUUAACGGUACGAAUUCCGGGUAGACUGCUCAGCUUGAGACCGGGAGAAGCUAGAGGUACUCCUGGGGUAGAGGUGAAAUUCUGUAAUCCUGGGGGGACCACCAGUGGCGAAGGCGUCUAGCUAGAACGGGUCUGACGGUGAGGGACGAAACCCUGGGGCGCAAACCGGAUUAGAUACCCGGGUAGUCCAGGGCGCAAACGCUGCUUGCUUGAUGUUAGCUGGGCUCCGAGCUCAGCUAGUGUCGGAGAGAAGUUGUUAAGCAAGCUGCCUGGGAAGUACGAUCGCAAGAUUGAAACUUAAAGGAAUUGGCGGGGGAGCACAGCAACGGGUGGAGCGUGCGGUUU
rnacentral:rRNA from 1 species